UUACGGGAGGCAGCAGUGAGGAAUAUUGGUCAAUGGGCGCAAGCCUGAACCAGCCAUCCCGCGUGCAGGAUGACGGCCCUAUGGGUUGUAAACUGCUUUUAUACACCAAGAAAAAUCCGAACGUGUUCGGACCCGACGGUAGUGUAUGAAUAAGCAUCGGCUAACUCCGUGCCAGCAGCCGCGGUAAUACGGAGGAUGCAAGCGUUAUCCGGAUUCAUUGGGUUUAAAGGGUGCGUAGGCGGCUUUUUAAGUCAGUGGUGAAAUCCUGUCGCUUAACGAUAGAAUUGCCAUUGAUACUGAAAAGCUUGAGUACAAUUGAGGUAAGCGGAAUGUGUAGUGUAGCGGUGAAAUGCUUAGAUAUUACACAGAACACCAAUUGCGAAGGCAGCUUACUAAACUGUCACUGACGCUGAUGCACGAAAGCGUGGGGAGCGAACAGGAUUAGAUACCCUGGUAGU
rnacentral:rRNA from 1 species